GCCAGAGUGGCAUAGUGAUUUGAGCACUGGACUAUGACUCUGGAGACCAGGGUUCAAUUCCCCAUUUGGUA
rnacentral:tRNA from 1 species